CAGCCGCCGGUAAUACGUAGGGUGCAAGCGUUAAUCGGAAUUACUGGGCGUAAAGCGUGCGCAGGCGGUUAUAUAAGACAGAUGUGAAAUCCCCGGGCUCAACCUGGGAACUGCAUUUGUGACUGUAUAGCUAGAGUACGGCAGAGGGGGAUGGAAUUCCGCGUGUAGCAGUGAAAUGCGUAGAUAUGCGGAGGAACACCGAUGGCGAAGGCAAUCCCCUGGGCCUGUACUGACGCUCAUGCACGAAAGCGUGGGGAGCAAACAGGAUUAGAUACCCCGGUAGUCCCUGUCUCUUAUACAC
rnacentral:rRNA from 1 species